UACAAAUUCUGAAGCUCUGUUGGGCUCAAACCAAGAAACACAGGUGGUCUUACCGAGCCACUGUUCAGAGUCCUCUGGUUGCAUUUACAAGUGUAAUAGAAAAUGACAGCCCUGUUAUCCUUUCUUAAAAUGUCAAAGACCACAUAAAACAAACCUCAUUCACAGUAUGCGGUGCUUGGUUUUUUGUCCUUGCGAUAGUUUGCUGAGAAUGAUGGUUUCCAGCUUCAUCCAUUUCCCCACAAAGGACAUGAACUCAUCGUUUUUUAUGGCUGCAUAGUAUUCCACGGUGUAUAUGUGCCACAUUUUCUUAAUCCAGUCUAUCAUUGUUGGACAUUUGGGUUGGUUCCAAGUCUUUGCUAUUGUGAAUAGUGCCACAAUAAACAUAUGUGUGCAUGUGUCCUUAUAGCAGCAUGAUUUAUAAUCCUUUGGGUAUAUACCCACUAAUGGGAUGGCUGGGUCAAAUGGUAUUUCCAGUUCUAGAUCCCUGAGGAAUUGCCACACUGACUUCCACAAUGGUUGAACUAGUUUACAGUCCCACCAACAAUGUAAAAGUGUUCCUAUUUCACCACAUCCUCUCCAGCACCUGUUGUUUCCUGACUUUUUAAUGAUUGCCAUUCUAACUGGUGUGAGAUGGUAUCUCAUUGUGGUUUUGAUUUGCAUUUCUCUGAUGGCCAGUGAUGAUGAGCAUUUUUUCAUGUGUUUUUUGGCUGCAUAAAUGUCUUCUUUUGAGAAGUAUCUGUUCAUAUCAUUUGCCCACUUUUUGAUGGGGUUGUUUGUUUUUUCUUGUAAAUUUGUUUGAGUUCAUUGUAGAUUCUGGAUAUUAGC
rnacentral:lncRNA from 10 species